rnacentral:misc_RNA from 1 species
GAUGAAGAACGCAGCGAAAUGCGAUAAGUAAUGUGAAUUGCAGAAUUCAGUGAAUCAUCGAAUCUUUGAACGCACAUUGCACCCGCCAGUAUUCUGGCGGGCAUGCCUGUUCGAGCGUCAUUUCAACCAUCAAGCCCCCGGCUUGUGUUGGGGACCUGCGGCUGCCGCAGGCCCUGAAAAGCAGUGGCGGGCUCGCUGUCACACCGAGCGUAGUAGCAUACAUCUCGCUCUGGGCGUGCUGCGGGUUCCGGCCGUUAAACCACCUUCAUAACCCAAGGUUGACCUCGGAUCAGGUAGGAAGACCCGCUGAACUUAAGCAUAUCAAUAAGCGGAGGA